UAUUGCUGAAACAGCUAGUGU
rnacentral:piRNA from 1 species